rnacentral:tRNA from 1 species
GUUUUUGUAGUUAAAGAAUAACGGCAGUUUUUCAGACUGCUAAUCUAGGUGAGAAUCUUAGCAAAAAUA